rnacentral:rRNA from 1 species
CAUGCAUGUCUAAGUACAAACUAUUUCAACAGUGAAACCGCAAAAGGCUCAUUAUAUCAGUUAUGGUUUAUUAGAUCAUCAACAGUUACUUGGAUAUCUGUGGUAAUUCUAGAGCUAAUACAUGCAUUAUAAACAUGGACCUUAUGGAACAUGUGCUCUUAUUAGUCUAAAACCAAGCGAUUUUUUUAAAAUCGUUAUAUCGGUUGAACUCUAGAUAAUUUGCCAAUCGUAUGGUCUUGUACCGACGAUAGGUCUUUUAAAUGUCUGCCCUAUCAACUAUUGAUGGUAGUAUCUAGGACUACCAUGGUUGCAACGGGUAACGGGGAAUCAGGGUUCGAUUCCGGAGAGGGAGCCUGAGAAACAGCUACCACAUCUAAGGAAGG